CAUUAACAGGAGGGGGGUGAGAAAACUGACCCAAUUGUUGAUUGGGAAUGUAUCUUCUACUGUCAGCCAUCAGCCAGCAAGUCUCCAAACAUCAACCCUAUGUUUCAUGAGCGAACCACUAAUCAAACUGAAUAAUCUGUAAACAAACAGAGAGAAAGAGAAACAUACUCAGAAGAAACAACAAAUCAAGAAAUCAGAACUAAUCCAUCUCAAAUGAAAAUCUAUAUUGAGAAACAGAGAUACAGUAUGCAUACGCAAAAGAUUGAAGAGUUUAUUCGAGAUUCAUAAACCCUAAUAGAACAAGAAUACGCUUGUCAAAAAAAAUGGAGAGUUUGCGAGAAAAACCAGAGAAAAAUAAAAAUAAAAAAGACGAUCGAGGGAGGGGGGGGAAGGAAAAUGAAA
rnacentral:lncRNA from 1 species